GAUGAACGCUGGCGGCGUGCCUAAUACAUGCAAGUCGAGCGAACAGACGAGGAGCUUGCUCCUCUGACGUUAGCGGCGGACGGGUGAGUAACACGUGGAUAACCUACCUAUAAGACUGGGAUAACUUCGGGAAACCGGAGCUAAUACCGGAUAAUAUAUUGAACCGCAUGGUUCAAUAGUGAAAGACGGUUUUGCUGUCACUUAUAGAUGGAUCCGCGCCGCAUUAGCUAGUUGGUAAGGUAACGGCUUACCAAGGCAACGAUGCGUAGCCGACCUGAGAGGGUGAUCGGCCACACUGGAACUGAGACACGGUCCAGACUCCUACGGGAGGCAGCAGUAGGGAAUCUUCCGCAAUGGGCGAAAGCCUGACGGAGCAACGCCGCGUGAGUGAUGAAGGUCUUCGGAUCGUAAAACUCUGUUAUUAGGGAAGAACAAAUGUGUAAGCAACUAUGCACGUCUUGACGGUACCUAUUCAGAAAGCCACGGCUAACUACGUG
rnacentral:rRNA from 1 species